rnacentral:rRNA from 1 species
CCUACGGGAGGCAGCAGUGGGGAAUAUUGCACAAUGGGCGCAAGCCUGAUGCAGCCAUGCCGCGUGUGUGAAGAAGGCCUUCGGGUUGUAAAGCACUUUCAGUCGUGAGGAAAGGUGAGUAGUUAAUACCUGCUAGCUGUGACGUUACUGACAGAAGAAGCACCGGCUAACUCCGUGCCAGCAGCCGCGGUAAU